GUAUUGCUUCGGCAAUACAUAUACUAAAAUUGGAACGAUGCUGAGAAGAUUAUCAAUGGUCCCUGUGUAAGGAUGACAUGCAAAUUUGUGAAACGUUCACGUCAUCC